GUUUGCAACAACUAACCACGCCCCUCCCUCACCUUUCCUAUAAAAGGGCUUUGCUGAAAGCCUUCGUGGAGUUUUGGAUUUUUAAGGCAUGAGUCACCCAUCUCCUUGCAUGGACCUGCAAUAAAAUUUUCUCUGCUCCAAACUACGACAUUUUGGUAUUGUUUGUCCUCACUGUGUGUUGGGCACACAGACUUGCAUUCGAUAACAGUAUCUCACAACCCACUGACCAUUUCAACAGCCUUGAUUAUUCUCCUGGCUUUGUUCUCUCUACUCAAGUCCCUCAGAACUUGAAUAUUUGGGAAACAGCUAUGCUUUGCCAGGCGCUGUGGUGUGCACUGAACACAAUCUCCCUCCGUGCUGCUUUGAGAGCACCAUUUCCCGGCUCACGUCCCACUGCGUUGUCACUGGAGCUCAGAUUCCACAGCUGGUCACUGAGAGCUGUUGCUUCUCUUCUGCAAGCAUGCCUUACUUGUACCUCCAGCCCACAGACUCACGUGCAUCUUUUACCUGGAUUUUUUUCUGCUUUGCCUACCUUUCUCUGUAUUUUAAGGCACAGCUCAAAGUCAGCUUCUUCACGAACACCUCCUGAUCCCAGAAAUGGGAAGUGACACCUGCUGAACUUCUGUAGCUCUUGUAGUGGUUUCAACUACUCAUGUAAGGCUUUCCACAAUGGACUGGAGUAGUGCUUAUUUGUAUAUGUAUCAGGGAUCCAGCUUCACCUUAAAGUGCUUAUGAGCCACAAGAAGCCUGUUAAUCUUCAGAGGAGUCAGGCCCAGGGAGCUUGACUUAAUAAGGCCUUGGUGGAGAUGUGGGAGAGUGCCUAUAACUCAUGUAUCUUCUUUUCUAGAUCUGGAGCUCCUUCAGGGCAGAGACCAUGAUUCACCCAGCAAAGCAUGUGGUGUCCAGAAUAGUGUUUGACAGCAGUGGAUAUUUAGAGAAGAGACCAAGAGAUCAACUUCAGUUGCUUCCUAUGAAGAAUCUAUACGCUUCCUAUGAAGAAUCCUACCUAACAUUACGGAAUGAGUUCUCAAAAAUCUGCAUAGAAAAUUGGGGAUCCUUUCAGCUGCUACCUUCCUUGGAAUACCAGACUGGAGGAACUAAGAUGGGAAAUCAUGUGUCUCAGAGGAGAAGGGGUAGGGAGUGGAAGAGAGAAGCAGGGGCAGCGUGGGGAGGAGUUUGUUAAAUAAAUCUAUACAGACAGAAUUUUAAAAUACUUUAUACAUUAAACUAGUGCUUUAUAGCUUACAAAUUGCCUUUGUGUACUUUAUCUCAAUUACUCCUCACAGCAACCUGGUAAGGUAGACAGAGGCUACCUAUCUACUUAUCAGUAGGUAUUAAUUAUCUAUGAGACUACUAGCCCUGUUUCGCAGAUGAGGAACUUCUCUUGAAGGUGGUUAACUGGCAGGACUAGAGUCACAUCUUAGAAUCACAGAAUCAUAGCAUCACGGAGUUAGAAGGCACCUUAAUAGCAAUAACCUAAGGCAUCCUUCUCUCAGAGCUUGAAUCACCUUAAAAAAACCUCUGAGAAGAUUUCUUCUGAUCCCUAUUUGAAUUCUUCCAGUGACGAGUAACUCACUGCUCCUUGAGGCAAAUCCAUUAUUAAUACUGAGCUAAAAUCCUCUCCUUAUAGCUUUCAGCCCUUAAUUCAUUUCUGUCCUCAAGAACUUCACCAAAUUAAGGGAAAUUGUAAUUCCUCUUCUUUUCAAAAUUCGAAGGUAUUACUCUUGUCCACCUCUUGCAGAUUAAGCAUCUUACAUUCUUCCAACUGUUACUCAUGAUUACUCAUAAUGUGAUUACCUGGCACAGUGCCUGAAAUACACAGUGGAUACUCAGUGAAUGUUUGUUGAAUUGGUUCUGUGGCCUUGGUACUAUGUCCUGGUCCUGGCCUCUUUCCUUGACCACAAUUAGCCUCCAUGUUGUAAUCUGUUUCUCAUUUGUUUGUUUAUUUAAAUAAUAGAAAGGAAACAACAUAUAGUAUUUACUUUCAAACCACAAAGUCUUCAGAACAACUUGAAAACAUAAGCAAAAUUGCCCAAAUUUCAGACAGCUUUCAGUUAAUUUGUGAUAAUGGACUCAUUAUCUGACUUAACUGACCACUUCAGAGAUGUAUUCAUUGAGCAUCUCCUUAAGUAAGACAUCAAAUGGAGCAUUGUGGAGUGUGUUCAUAGAAUUAACUGGAAAGAUUCUAGUGAAGGCAGGGUUAAUUUGAGGUCUAACUGUAAGACCCUGCAUGAAUACAUUAUCCAACAGCACUGCUUUGCAUAUUAGAAAAAGUAGCACGCAAUUGUGGAUAAUUCUGGGCACCACCAAACUGAAAAAUGUGCUCUCUUCAAAAAUAAGCUCCAGU